GACAGAGGUGCCAAGCGUUAGGCGGAAUCACUGGGCUUAAAGCGUGUGUAGGCGGGCGGGCAAGUACCUUGUGAAAUCCCACGGCUCAACCGUGGAACGGCUGGGUAUACUGCCUGUCUUGAGCCAGCUAGGGGCGACCGGAACAGACGGUGGAGCGGUGAAAUGCGUAGAUAUCAUUUGGAACGCCAAUGGUGAAAACAGGUAGCUGGGGCUGUGCUGACACUGAGACACGAAAGCCAGGGGAGCAAACGGG
rnacentral:rRNA from 1 species